rnacentral:rRNA from 1 species
GAUGAACGCUGGUGGCGUGCCUAAUACAUGCCAGUCGAGCGAACAGACGAGGAGCUUGCUCCUCUGACGUUAGCGGCGGACGGGUGAGUAACACGUGGAUAACCUACCUAUAAGACUGGGAUAACUUCGGGAAACCGGAGCUAAUACCGGAUAAUAUAUUGAACCGCAUGGUUCAAUAGUGAAAGACGGUUUUGCUGUCACUUAUAGAUGGAUCCGCGCCGCAUUAGCUAGUUGGUAAGGUAACGGCUUACCAAGGCAACGAUGCGUAGCCGACCUGAGAGGGUGAUCGGCCACACUGGAACUGAGACACGGUCCAGACUCCUACGGGAGGCAGCAGUAGGGAAUCUUCCGCAAUGGGCGAAAGCCUGACGGAGCAACGCCGCGUGAGUGAUGAAGGUCUUCGGAUCGUAAAACUCUGUUAUUAGGGAAGAACAAAUGUGUAAGUAACUAUGCACGUCUUGACGGUACCUAAUCAGAAAGCCACGGCUAACUACGUG